rnacentral:rRNA from 1 species
UGGGGAUUAUUGCACAAUGGGCGCAAGCCUGAUGCAGCCAUGCCGCGUGUGUGAAGAAGGCCUUCGGGUUGUAAAGCACUUUCAGCGGGGAGGAAGGCGAUAAGGUUAAUAACCUUGUCGAUUGAUGUUACCCGCAGAAGAAGCACCGGCUAACGCCGUGCCAGCAGCCGCGGUAAGACGGAGGGUGCAAGCGUUAAUCGGAAUUACUGGGCGUAAAGCGCACGCAGGCGGUUUGUCAAGUCGGAUGUGAAAUACCCGGGCUCAACCUGGGAACUGCAUUCGAAGCUGGCAGGCUAGAGUCUUGUAGAGGGGGGUAGAAUUCCAGGUGUAGCGGUGAAAUGCGUAGAGAUCUGGAGGAAUACCGGUGGCGAAGGCGGCCCCCUGGACAAAGACUGACGCUCAGGUGCGAAAGCGUGGGGAGCAAACAGG